AUGAAGUGCGUAUCCUCGGUACGCUUCUCAGUCUGGGUAAACGGUGAGCUGUUACCCUUCUUUACACCCUCGCGUGGGUUGAGACAAGGUGACCCGGCGAUACCUUUCCUUUUUCUGCUUUGCGCGGAGGGCUUCUCCUCUUUGCUGAAGUUUUACAAUAAUGGGCACAUUGACAGAGGCAUAAGAGUGAGCUACAAAUCGUCGUGGGUUUCACACUUGCUUUUCGCUGACGACAACUUGAUCUUUGUUAGUGCAACCACCCAAAGUGCAGAGAGACUGAAUGACAUCCUGAGAAUUUAUGGGGAAUCAUCGGGUCAGUGUGUUAAUCGUGCUAAGAGCGCUAUUUACUUCAGCUCCAACACACCGGCCCAGCUCAAGCAGCAGCUAAAAUCGGUCCUCAACAUCGACGUCGAGGCCUUUAGCGAGCGUUACCUGGGGCUGCCCACAGCGGUCGGCCGCAUCAAAACCGGUAAUUUCGAUCACAUUGGGGAGAGAGCUCGCGGGAAGAUUCAGGGAUGGUCUGAGAAACUACUUGCAUGUGCAGGUCGCGGAACUUUGCUGAAAUCAGUUGUUCAGGCGAUUCCCACGUACUCAAUGAGUGCAUUCUUAUUGACAAAGAAGGUGUGCAAGAGUUUGACUUCACCAAUGGCAAAAUAUUUCUGGAGCAGCUCUAUUGACAAAAAUGCGUUGCAUUGGGUGUCCUAGAAGAAUUUGGCUACACCAAAGUGCCAAGGUGGUAUGGUGUUUCGAGACCCCCAUCAGUUCAAUCUUGCGCUACUCGGGAAGCACGGUUGGCGCUUUAUGACUAACCCUAAUUCUCUUUGCGCAAGAGUAAUGAAGGGCCGCUACUUUCCUGACACAGAUUUCUUGCAUGCAUCUGUUCCAAAAUCAGCGUAA
rnacentral:rRNA from 1 species